CCAGCAGCUGCACUCCCCAAACGCCUGCCCGACCUGAGGUGUCCCUCUGAAGAGCCCCUGAGCCCGCUCACGUUAACCCCCCCGAGAGGAGAGGGAUGUCGCUAGCCCUGUUGCCAUACGAAAAACAGAGGCCCGUGUGGGGAAGAUGUGGAAGCUGAGCUGUGAAGAGAAGAUGAGGUCUGCAAGGCCACAUAGCUGGAAAGGAGUACACGGGGUGCUGUUCCCAUUAGCUCUGUCUGAUCCCCUAGAGCUGCCCCUGGAGGUCCCUCCCUGGAGGCUGAAAGGAAGGGGCAGGAGUGAGGUGGUGAGGGCC